rnacentral:rRNA from 1 species
CCCUUAGAUGUUCUGGGCCGCACGCGCGCUACACUGACGAUGGCAACGAGUUUUUCCUUCGCCGAAAGGUGUGGGUAAUCUUUUGAAACAUCGUCGUGCUGGGGAUAGAUCAUUGCAAUUUUUGAUCUUGAACGAGGAAUUCCUAGUAAGCGCGAGUCAUCAGCUCGCGUUGAUUACGUCCCUGCCCUGUGUACACACCGCCCGUCGCUACUACCGAUUGAAUGGUUUAGUGAGGACUCCUGAUUGGCGCCGCCGCCCCGGCAACGGAGCAGCGGACUGCCGAAAAGUUGUUCAAACUUGAUCAUUUAGAGGAAGUAAAAGUCGUAACA